rnacentral:tRNA from 1 species
UGGGGUUUUGGCUUAGUGGUAGAGAACUUGCCUAGCAUGCGUGAGGCACUGGGUUCGAUCCUCAGAACCACAU